rnacentral:rRNA from 1 species
GAUGAACGCUGGCGGCGUGCCUAAUACAUGCAAGUCGAGCGAACGGACGAGAAGCUUGCUUCUCUGAUGUUAGCGGCGGACGGGUGAGUAACACGUGGAUAACCUACCUAUAAGACUGGGAUAACUUCGGGACACCGGAGCUAAUACCGGAUGAUAUUUUGAACCGCAUGGUUCAAAAGUGAAAGACGGUCUUGCUGUCACUUAUAGAUGGAUCCGCGCUGCAUUAGCUAGUUGGUAAGGUAACGGCUUACCAAGGCAACGAUGCAUAGCCGACCUGAGAGGGUGAUCGGCCACACUGGAACUGAGACACGGUCCAGACUCCUACGGGAGGCAGCAGUAGGGAAUCUUACGCAAUGGGCGAAAGCCUGACGGAGCAACGGCGCGUGAGUGAUGAAGGUCUUCGGAUCGUAAAACUCUGUUAUUAGGGAAGAACAUAUGUGUAAGUAACUGUGCACAUAUUGACGGUACCUAAUCAGAAAGCCACGGCUAACUACGUG